AAACGUGAUGAUCAAUUAAAAACAUUGUAGGUUUUGCCAACGUUUCAUACAUAAGACAUAUACACGCAUCAGAAUGACGAUGUUGUGAAUCUUUUGAAAUAUUACGAAGCAUAGACGCGGAUGUUUCCAUAUUCUUUGGUCGCUGUUAUUGUUGCCAUAGCAAUCCUUUCACUUGGACUCCUCAUAUUUAUGAUCAUUUUGAUGUGGUCUCGAAUUAAGGAGAAAAGGAAAAGAGAUGCAACUCUUGCAGUAACCUAUCAAAACCAAAGUUUUGUCUCAGAGGAAUUGGGUCAUAGUUACGAUUGUCUACAGAGAGAAACUUACACAAAUGAUUCGUAUAUGUAAUUUUUGUUUUGCCUACAAAUAAAAAAAAUCGCAAACUCA